rnacentral:rRNA from 1 species
GACGAACGCUGGCGGCGUGCUUAACACAUGCAAGUCGAACGGAAAGGCCCUGCUUGCAGGGUACUCGAGUGGCGAACGGGUGAGUAACACGUGGGUGAUCUGCCCUGCACUUCGGGAUAAGCCUGGGAAACUGGGUCUAAUACCGGAUAGGAGCCAUUUUUAGUGUGAUGGUUGGAAAGUUUUUUCGGUGUAGGAUGAGCUCGCGGCCUAUCAGCUUGUUGGUGGGGUAAUGGCCUACCAAGGCGGCGACGGGUAGCCGGCCUGAGAGGGUGGACGGCCACAUUGGGACUGAGAUACGGCCCAGACUCCUACGGGAGGCAGCAGUGGGGAAUAUUGCACAAUGGGCGCAAGCCUGAUGCAGCGACGCCGCGUGGGGGAUGACGGCCUUCGGGUUGUAAACUCCUUUCGCUAGGGGCGAAGCUUUUUGUGACGGUACCUAGAUAAGAAGCACCGGCUAACUACGUG